CUAUGAUGAGACAACCAGCUGGCACCAGUCCUAGAAAGACUUGUACUCUUUUUGCUGCGGAAUAGCUUUGCACGGGACUAGACUCCCUAAUUCUGAU
rfam:Aureobasidium pullulans var. pullulans EXF-150 unplaced genomic scaffold scaffold_29, whole genome shotgun sequence.